AUGAACGCUGGCGGCGUGCCUAAUACAUGCAAGUCGAGCGAACGGACGAGAAGCUUGCUUUUCUGAUGUUAGCGGCGGACGGGUGAGUAACACGUGGAUAACCUACCUAUAAGACUGGGAUAACUUCGGGAAACCGGAGCUAAUACCGGAUAAUAUUUUGAACCGCAUGGUUCAAAAGUGAAAGACGGUCUUGCUGUCACUUAUAGAUGGAUCCGCGCUGCAUUAGCUAGUUGGUAAGGUAACGGCUUACCAAGGCAACGAUGCAUAGCCGACCUGAGAGGGUGAUCGGCCACACUGGAACUGAGACACGGUCCAGACUCCUACGGGAGGCAGCAGUAGGGAAUCUUCCGCAAUGGGCGAAAGCCUGACGGAGCAACGCCGCGUGAGUGAUGAAGGUCUUCGGAUCGUAAAACUCUGUUAUUAGGGAAGAACAUAUGUGUAAGUAACUGCGCACAUCUUGACGGUACCUAAUCAGAAAGCCACGGCUAACUACGUG
rnacentral:rRNA from 1 species